rnacentral:rRNA from 1 species
AUUGAACGCUGGCGGCAGGCUUAACACAUGCAAGUCGAGCGGGGUGAUGGUGCUUGCACUAUCACUUAGCGGCGGACGGGUGAGUAAUGCUUAGGAAUCUGCCUAUUAGUGGGGGACAACAUCUCGAAAGGAAUGCUAAUACCGCAUACGUCCUACGGGAGAAAGCAGGGGAUCACUUGUGACCUUGCGCUAAUAGAUGAGCCUAAGUCGCGAUUAGCUAGUUGGUGGGGUAAAGGCCUACCAAGGCGACGAUCUGUAGCGGGUCUGAGAGGAUCAUCCCCCACACGGGGACUGAGACACGGCCCAGACUCCGACGGGAGGCAGCAGUGGGGAAUAUUGGACAAUGGGGGGAACCCUGAUCCAGCCAUGCCGCGUGUGUGAAGAAGGCCUUAUGGUUGUAAAGCACUUUAAGCGAGGAGGAGGCUCUUUUGGUUAAUACCCAAGAUGAGUGGACGUUACUCGCAGAAUAAGCACCGGCUAACUCUGUGCCAGCAGCCGCAGUAA